UUUACUAUUUCUUCUGUCUAUCCAACUUUAUCUACUUCCACCGUUGCUUAGGGUGCCGGCAGCAUCCCAUAUGAUUUGUGCUUCAUUUGAAACUUAAAACAAAUAUUUUAUGUCAUUAUGGUCAAAGAAAAUAGAACAUAAAUUGCAAUAGACAGAACUAUGGUCAUGUAGCCUUUUUCUUUUUGUCAUAUCUUAACUUGAGUUGAAGAUCUUUUCCGCCCCUUCAUCGGCUAUAAAGAUAUCAGAGUUGUUCACAAGGAGCCCAGACGAAGGGGAGAUAAAGCUACGGUAUUAUGCUUUGUAGAGUUCAUUGAAGCAAGAUAUUCCCGUGCUGCAAUGGAAGCUCUUCAAGGUUACAAGUUCGACGACAAAAAACCCGAUUCCCUAGCUUUGAAGAUUCAAUUUGCACAUUUUCCUUUCCGUUUACCAUCGAACCACGACGACAGGCGAUGAAUACAUAAGUUAAGCAACCCUUUCCUGAUUUUUAAGGGCUUUGUUGAUCCUGUGGAAUAGCAAAGCUUAUCCCGGACAAAAUUGGGAACUAGCUGGUAUGAAGGAAGCAUCUAGCAAACUGGUAGUUUUCAGUUUUUCAUAUGGGCCUGGAUGAGCUCAUACGAACUCUUGCCCCUCCCUUUACUUGGGGAGAAAUAUCAAAUGGGUCUUUUCCAAGUUCCUGUUUGGCAUUGAUAUCUUGUUCUGUCCGUCAGGUUUCAGAUAUCUUCUGCUUUGGAUCAUGAAAAUGACAUAUAGGUACAAAGAUUCUUGACGAAAGUAAUAAAACUUCAUUUGAGUGGUGACUGGUUUCGUAUGAAACCAACCAACCCCAUUGAAUAAA